rnacentral:rRNA from 1 species
GGAAGUAAAAGUCGUAACAAGGUCUCCGUUGGUGAACCAGCGGAGGGAUCAUUAUAGAGUUUUCUAAACUCCCAACCCAUGUGAACUUACCUUUUGUUGCCUCGGCAGAAGUUAUAGGUCUUCUUAUAGCUGCUGCCGGUGGACCAUUAAACUCUUGUUAUUUUAUGUAAUCUGAGCGUCUUAUUUUAAUAAGUCAGAACUUUCAACAACGGAUCUCUUGGUUCUGGCAUCGAUGAAGAACGCAGCGAAAUGCGAUAAGUAAUGUGAAUUGCAGAAUUCAGUGAAUCAUCGAAUCUUUGAACGCACAUUGCGCCCAUUAGUAUUCUAGUGGGCAUGCCUGUUCGAGCGUCAUUUCAACCCUUAAGCCUAGCUUAGUGUUGGGAAUCUACUUCUUUUAUUAGUUGUAGUUCCUGAAAUACAACGGCGGAUUUGUAGUAUCCUCUGAGCGUAGUAAUUUUUUUCUCGCUUUUGUUAGGUGCUAUAACUCCCAGCCGCUAAACCCCCAAUUUUUUGUGGUUGACCUCGGAUCAGGUAGGAAUACCCGCUGAACUUAAGCAUAUCAAUAAGCGGAGGA